rnacentral:rRNA from 1 species
UACGUAGGGUGCGAGCGUUAAUCGGAAUUACUGGGCGUAAAGCGUGCGCAGGCGGUGAUGUAAGACAGGUGUGAAAGCCCCGGGCUCAACCUGGGAAUUGCAUUUGAGACUGCUCUGCUCGGGUGCGGAAGAGGGAAGCGGAAUUUCCGGUGUAGCGGUGAAAUGCGUAGAUAUCGGAAGGAACACCAGUGGCGAAAGCGGCUUCCUGGUCCGACACCGACGUUCAGGCACGAAAGCGUGGGGAGCAAACAGG